rnacentral:rRNA from 1 species
UUAUGGCUCAGGAUGAACGCUGGCGGCGUGCCUAACACAUGCAAGUCGAACGGGGUUAAGGGAAAUUUCGGAUGGAACUUAACUAGUGGCGGACGGGUGAGUAACGCGUGGAUAACCUGCCUCACACUGGGGGAUAGCAGCUGGAAACGGCUGGUAAUACCGCAUAAGACCACGGUGCCGCAUGGCACCGGGGUAAAGAUUUAUCGGUGUGAGAUGGAUCCGCGUCUGAUUAGCCAGUUGGCGGGGUAACGGCCCACCAAAGCGACGAUCAGUAGCCGGCCUGAGAGGGUGAACGGCCACAUUGGGACUGAGACACGGCCCAAACUCCUACGGGAGGCAGCAGUGGGGAAUAUUGCACAAUGGGCGCAAGCCUGAUGCAGCCAACGCCGCGUGAGUGAAGAAGUAUUUCGGUAUGUAAAGCUCUAUCGGCAGGGAAGAAAGGCCCGAAAGGGAGAUGACGGUACCUGACUAAGAAGCCCCGGCUAACUACGUGCCAGCCGCGGC